rnacentral:rRNA from 1 species
UACGUAGGUGGCAAGCGUUGUCCGGAAUUACUGGGUGUAAAGCGCGUGUAGGCGGGUGGCCAAGUCUGCUGUGAAAUCGCUCGGCUCAACUGGGCGGGGUCGGUGGAAACUGGUCACCUGGAGGACGGUAGAGGCGAGUGGAAUUCCCGGUGUAGUGGUGAAAUGCGUAGAGAUCGGGAGGAACACCAGUGGCGAAGGCGGCUCGCUGGGCCGGUCCUGACGCUGAGACGCGAAGGCGUGGGGAGCGAACGGG